rnacentral:lncRNA from 1 species
CGGCGUUAAAAUGGUUGAUGUAAGUUCGGAUGGAUUCUCCCUCCUUCUGCUUGAUGUUGAUAAGGGACUUCAAACCUCUCUGGGGAUGCCGGCUGCUGACGAAAUGAGCAACAAACUGGUGGCUCAUCUAAUCAAAGGAGAAGAUAGUACCCGACUUCAGUAUCGAGUACCAAUUUCUUACUGCUCCCUUCAAGGUAGACGAAAAAGCUCAGCACAGG